rnacentral:lncRNA from 1 species
UUCUUGGAAUCAGUCCAUAUUCCCAGGGGAGCAUUCCAACCUGUACUUUGGAAUAUUCCUGCAUGCUGUAUGCCAGGUGAGAAAUUAGAAAGGUAGACCGUUAGAUGACCAGGCAUGCUAAAAUGAAAAACACAAAUCUGCAAAGGAAAGAAACACAGAACAUGGAAUCCCAUUCCCGAACAUGAUUCCAGCAGUGCAAGCCAAACACAGGAAGCUUUACCCAGGAACUGAAGUUUGUGUCAUCCCCUAGACAGCAGUGGUCAGGGCCAAUUUGUCAGCUCAUAGCAUGGAUAUCAUCUUCAAUGGCCAGGACCCCUACGCUCAGCCCUUCCUGGAACACAGUGAUCAAUAGCAGGGGUCGCUGCUUAGACCUGUGUCAGAAUCAGACAUAUCCAGGGCAAAUUUCCCAGAAAUCUAACUCAUAACUGAACAGCCUUCAGGGAAAGAAUUCCUCCUGAAGCAAGACUCAACAAUGGACAUCAUGAUAUAAAGUUUCUGUGCUUCAGCGAAAGGGGAUUCUCAAGGCACCCUGGGCUGACCCUCAUACCUGUCCCCUGUGGAUUCACGACUAUCAUCUCAUCUGCCUGAAGACAAGCUAGUAAACUACAACAUGGUGGGACAUAAAUCAGCCUUCAGUCUGGAACUGUGAGAGACCCUGCACAGCACUGUGGCUCAAAAGGACCACAGCCCCGAUUAGAGGGACCUUCCUGUGGGGGUGACCAAUUGGGGGUGGGGGGAACACACAAAGCAGAAAACAGAAACAGAAGCCCUGCUUGGGGAGCAUGACAGGACCCUGGGACAUGAGGAACUCAACAAUUGGGACAGCAAUUCCUAGGAGAAGGAAAGGACACACUAAAUGCCGCACAGGGGUCACACGGAGGACAACCGGG